rnacentral:rRNA from 1 species
GAUGAACGCUAGCGACAGGCCUAACACAUGCAAGUCGAGGGGCAGCACAAGGAGCAAUCUGAGGUGGCGACCGGCGCACGGGUGAGUAACACGUAUGCAACCUGCCUGUAAGCGGGGGAUAACCCGUUGAAAGACGGACUAAUACCGCAUAAUAUUGGAGAUCUGCAUGGAUAUUCAGUUAAACAUUUAUGGCUUACAGAUGGGCAUGCGCAUGAUUAGCUAGUUGGAGAGGUAACGGCUCCCCAAGGCAACGAUCAUUAGGGGUUCUGAGAGGAAGGUCCCCCACACUGGUACUGAGACACGGACCAGACUCCUACGGGAGGCAGCAGUGAGGAAUAUUGGUCAAUGGCGAGAGUCUGAACCAGCCAAGUCGCGUGCAGGAAGAAUGUCCUAUGGAUUGUAAACUGCUUUUGUCAGGGGAAUAAAUGCAUCACGUGUGAUGUUUUGUAUGUACUCUGCGAAU